UGGGGAAUAUUGGACAAUGGGGGGAACCCUGAUCCAGCCAUGCCGCGUGUGUGAAGAAGGCCUUAUGGUUGUAAAGCACUUUAAGCGAGGAGGAGGGUACUGGUAUUAAUACUACCAGGUACUGGACGUUACUCGCAGAAUAAGCACCGGCUAACUCUGUGCCAGCAGCCGCGGUAAUACAGAGGGUGCGAGCGUUAAUCGGAUUUACUGGGCGUAAAGCGUGCGUAGGCGGCUAAUUGAGUCGGAUGUGAAAUCCCCGAGCUUAACUUGGGAAUUGCAUUCGAUACUGGUUAGCUAGAGUGUGGGAGAGGAUGGUAGAAUUCCAGGUGUAGCGGUGAAAUGCGUAGAGAACUGGAGGAAUACCGAUGGCGAAGGCAGCCAUCUGGCCUAACACUGACGCUGCGGUACGAAAGCAUGGGGAGCAAACAGG
rnacentral:rRNA from 1 species